rnacentral:rRNA from 1 species
GUCCAUGGCCAUGCCACUCUGAACAAGCCUGAUCCCAUCUGAUCUUGGAAGCUAAGCAGGGUUGGGCCUGGUUAGUACUUGGAUGGGAGACCACCUAGGAAAACCAGGUGCUGUAGGUG